CUAAAAACCUAGCCUUAAAUUACACCUAUACAAUAACCCCACCUCUUACACCUCAAUCAAAAUAUUCUUUAACUCUAGUAAAGAAGAUUAAAAAAUUUCUACAGCGCAAUAACUACGUACCGCAAGGGAAAGAUGAAAUAAUGAUGAAAUAUUUUUAAGCAUAAAAUAGUAGAGCCUAGCCCUCGUACCUUUUGCAUCAUGGUUUAACUAGUUUAAUCAAGCAUAAAGAUUUUAAGUCUGACACCCCGAAACCAGGUGAGCUACUCUAAGGCAGCUCACGAGCAAACCCAUCUCUGUUGCAAAAGAGUGGGAAGACCUUAAAGUAGUGGUGAUAUACCUAACGAACCUGGUGAUAGCUGGUUGCUUGUGAAAUGAAUUUUAGUUCUACCUAAAGUCACCUAAUAACCUCAAAUACCCCCUAUGACUUCAGAGUAAUUUAAGUGGGGGACAGCCCACUUAAAAUAGGAUACAGCCUCCCCCGAUGGGUAAUCACCUUAUUCUUCUUCUUCUAAGUGGGCCUAAAAGCAGCCAUCUUUAAAACCGCGUCAAAGCCUAUUAGAUAAUCUAAUCUAAAUUCCUCUCUCUCCACCAAACCCUCCACCCCUAACAAGCAAUUCUAUAAACUUAUAGAAUUUAUUAUGUUAAAACUAGUAACAAGAAGCCUACUUCUCUUUUAUGUAAACUUAACCCAGAACGGAUCAACCACUGGCAGUUAUCAGACCUCAAUAGUAACCUGACAAGAAAACUCAAUUACAAAUACUGUUAACCUAACUCAAGAACAUAACAAGAAAGAUUUAAAAUAAGGGAAGGAACUCGGCAAACCGUAGUCCCGCCUGUUUACCAAAAACAUCGCCUCUUGCACCUAUAAGAGGUCCAGCCUGCCCAGUGACUCAGUUCAACGGCCGCGGUAUACUAACCGUGCGAAGGUAGCGCAAUCACUUGUCUCUUAAAUAGAGACUUGUAUGAAUGGCAUCACGAGGACUUAACUGUCUCCCCUUCUUAAUCAGUGAAACUAAUCUCCCUGUGAAAAAGCAGGGAUUAACUUACAAGACGAGAAGACCCUAUGGAGCUUUAAACAAUGUAACACCUGCUCUCUUUUCCCACUCCAACACAACCAUAGCACUAUGAUUACAAGUUUUAGGUUGGGGUGACCGUUGAGAAAAACAAACCCUCCAUGCUAUAAAGUUUAACACUUAAAUCUAAGAGCCUCAGCCCCAAGAAUCAAUAAACUGAUAUAAUUGACCCAAACAUUUGAUCAACGAAACAAGUUACCCUAGGGAUAACAGCGCCAUCCACUUCAAAAGUACAUAUUGACAAGUGGGCUUACGACCUCGAUGUUGGAUCAGGGUACCCCAGUGGUGCAGCCGCUACUAAAGGUUUGUUUGUUCAACAAUUAAAAUCCUACGUGAUCUGAGUUCAGACCGGAGAAAUCCAGGUCGGUUUCUAUCUGUAAUAGAGUAUCCCCUAGUACGAAAGGAUCGGGACAACAUGGCCAAUAAGAACCUCAAGCCCUAAAGUCAACUUAUACCCCCCACUUAAUAAACAACUAAUCUACUCUCUAACCCUAAACAAGAGC
rnacentral:rRNA from 1 species